ensembl:snRNA U6 U6 spliceosomal RNA
GUGCUUGUUUCAGCAGCACAUAUACUAAAAUUGGAACAAUACAGAGAUUAGCAUGGCCCCAGCACAAGGCUAACACAUAAAUUCGUGAAACAUUCCAUCUUCUU